rnacentral:rRNA from 1 species
GAUCCUGGCUCAGGAUGAACGCUAGCUACAGGCUUAACACAUGCAAGUCGAGGGGAAACGACAUCGAAAGCUUGCUUUUGAUGGGCGUCGACCGGCGCACGGGUGAGUAACGCGUAUCCAACCUGCCCAUCACUUGGGGAUAACCUUGCGAAAGUAAGACUAAUACCCAAUGAUAUCUCUAGAAGACAUCUGAAAGAGAUUAAAGAUUUAUCGGUGAUGGAUGGGGAUGCGUCUGAUUAGCUUGUUGGCGGGGUAACGGCCCACCAAGGCGACGAUCAGUAGGGGUUCUGAGAGGAAGGUCCCCCACAUUGGAACUGAGACACGGUCCAAACUCCUACGGGAGGCAGCAGUGAGGAAUAUUGGUCAAUGGACGAGAGUCCGAACCAGCCAAGUAGCGUGCAGGAUGACGGCCCUAUGGGUUGUAAACUGCUUUUAUAAGGGAAUAAAGUGAGCCUCGUGAGGCUUUUUGUAUGUACCUUAUGAAUAAGGACCGGCUAAUUCCGUG